UACGGAGGGUGCAAGCGUUGUCCGGAAUUACUGGGCGUAAAGGGCUCGUAGGCGGCCAACUAAGUCGGAUGUGAAAUCCCCAGGCUCAACCUGGGAACUGCAUCCGAUACUGGAUGGCUUGAAUCCGGGAGAGGGAUGCAGAAUUCCAGGUGUAGCGGUGAAAUGCGUAGAUAUCUGGAGGAAUACCAGUGGCGAAGGCGGCAUCCUGGACCGGCAUUGACGCUGAGGAGCGAAAGCCAGGGGAGCAAACGGG
rnacentral:rRNA from 1 species